rnacentral:rRNA from 1 species
AUGGACGGCACCGGUGGUGGUCGCGAGUAUGGCGGCAGGGUCACCGCGUUCGUGGCGCUCUCUUGCGUCACGGCGUCCAUGGGCGGCGUCAUCUACGGCUACGACAUCGGUGUUGCGGGCGGCGUGUCGUCCAUGGAGCCGUUCCUCAGGGAAUUCUUCCCGGACGUGUACCGCAGGAUGAAGGGCGACUCACGUGUCAGCAACUACUGCAAGUUCGACAGCCAGCUCCUCACGCUCUUCACCUCGUCGCUCUACAUCUCCGGGCUGUUCACGGCGGUGCUACUAUCGUCGUGGGUCACGGCCCGCUGCGGGCGCCGGCCCUCCAUGAUCGUUGGUGGCACGGCAUACCUCGCCGGCGCAGCAGUCAGUGGCGGGGCCGUGAACGUGUAUAUGGCCAUCCUCGGUAGGGCGCUGCUCGGUGUCGGGCUAGGAUUUGCCAACCAGGCAGUGCCACUCUACUUAUCUGAAAUGGCACCGACACGAUACAGGGGAGCCUUCAGCAAUGGCUUCCAGUUCAGCCUAUGUCUCGGAGAUCUCGCCUCGACCAUCACCAACUACGGUGUGGAGAAGAUCAAGGCAGGUUGGGGCUGGAGGCUCUCGCUGGCCUUGGCCGGUAUCCCUGCCGUGUUUCUCACCGUCGGCUCCAUCUUCCUGCCGGAGACACCCAACAGCCUCGUCCGACAAGGUAAAGACCAUUUAGUGGUCAAGGCAUUACUGCACAAGAUGAGAGGCUUUGAAGCCGUCGACCAAGAGCUAGAUGAUAUCAUCGCUGCUAACAUCCUAGCUACAAAGCCCGGCGACAACGGCAUGCACAUGAUCUUGUCACAGCGGCGGUACCGCCCACAGCUUGCCAUGGCCAUCCUGAUACCAUCCUUCUCACAGCUUACCGGAAUCAGUGCCAUUGGGUUCUACGCGCCGGUGCUGCUACGCAGUAUCGGCGUGGGUGAGAGUGCAUCCCUGAUGUCAACCAUCAUCCUCGUUUUUGUCUCCUCGGUGUCAACACUAGUAUCCAUGUUCACCGUCGAUCGCUUUGGUAGGCGGACCCUCCUUCUCAUCGGUGGCAUCCAGAUGAUCAUCUGUGAAGUCCUUAUCGGUGCUAUCAUGGUUGCAAAGCUUGGCGAUGAGGGUGGGAUCAGCAAGACGUAUGCUAUCAUCCUCAUUUUUCUCAUGGGUGUCUAUGUAGUGGGCUUCGGAUUGUCAUGGGGCCCGCUGGGCUGGCUAGUGCCCAGCGAGAUUUUCCCAUUGGAGAUCAGGUCAGCCGGGCAAAGCAUCACUGUGGCCUCGUGCUUUGCGUUCACCAUAUGCAUUUCACAGUUCUUCCUGGCCAUGCUAUGCCAGAUGAAGGCAUACUUGUUCUUUUUCUUUGCCGGAUGGAUCAUGGUGAUGACGGCUUUUGUCUACUUCUUCUUGCCCGAGACCAAGGGGCUGCCGAUUGAGCAAAUUGGCAAGGUGUGGGGGAAGCACUGGUUCUGGAAGAAGGUUCUGGGGGUUGGUGAGGUGACUGCAAGCUAUUGA